rnacentral:rRNA from 1 species
AGUGAACGCUGGUGGCGUGCUUAACACAUGCAAGUCGAACGAUAACGGAUUAUAGCUUGCUAUAAUUGUCAGCUAAGUGGCGCACGGGUGAGUAAUGUAUAGGUAAUAUGCCUCUUACUAAGGGAUAACAAAUGGAAACGUUUGCUAAUACCUUAUACUCCUUAUUAACAUAAGUUAAUAAGGGAAAGAUUUAUUGAUAAGAGAAUAGCCUGUAUUGUAUUAGUUAGUUGGUGGGGUAAUGGCUUACCAAGACUAUGACACAUAACUGGUUUGAGAGGAUGAUCAGUCACACUGGAACUGAGACACGGUCCAUACUCCUACGGGAGGCAGCAGUGGGGAAUAUUGCACAAUGGACGAAAGUCUGAUGCAGCAACGCCGCGUGGAGGAUGACACAUUUCGGUGCGUAAACUCCUUUUAUAUGAGAAGAUAAUGACGGUAUUAUAUGAAUAAGCACCGGCUAACUCCGUGCCAGCCGCCGCGGUAA